CCGGGGCAGGCUGGGAGAUGUAGUUCCCGACUCUCCCGGAAGCGGAAGUGACGUCGGCAGAGGAGCCAGAGCCGGGCUGCGCUACAGCGUUGGGCGCUGGGGCUCUGCCUGGCUCGCGCGGGGCCGUUGGAGCCUCUCCCGGGCCGGAGAAGGGUGUGUGACUGAGAUCAGGGCUCUUAUCGUACUGAGCGUGGCCCUGUUCUGCCAGGUGCUGCAGAGACCCCAACUGAGAUCUGGGCCCCUUUCUGCCAGGCUCUGAAGAGACCUGAGGCACUUCGGAGACCUCGACUGAGAUCUGUGUUCCCGUUGGGCCUGGUAUUGCACUGACCCUAACAAAGAUCACACCCCACCACUGUACUGUGCACUGCACAGACCCUGACAGAGAUCCUGCUCCCACAUUUUGCCAGUUGCUACAGGGGCCCUAAAUAAAAUCAGGGAUCCUGUAAUGCUGGGAGUUCCAGAGUCCUCAACUGAGAUCAGGCUUCCUGUUGUGCAGGGCUCUGCACAGACACUGACCAAGAUCAGGGUCCCCAUUGUGGCAGGUGCGGAAAAGACACCAAGGGUAUCUCUACCCUGCUGUUAAA